rnacentral:lncRNA from 1 species
ACCUGGGAAGCACGCAGGACGGACGGGAUGAGUAAAGCUCAGGACCUCCGAGACGUCUCACUUUCACCAUUCAUUCGGGGCGCUGGGAGGCGGAGGCCUCAGCAUUUCCUAACUUAUUUUUUUAUGAAGCACUCGCCUCACCCAGUAGACUGAGAGUGUGCUCCCCGUUGACCUCGGCUCAGAAAGAAGGGAAGUCCGAUGCUAAGUUCCUCUUCCUCUACCACGGGCUCCACGCACCCCAAGACCCCCCGGGAGGUGCCGAUCCUCCUUCGGAACCGGAGCACAAGGACCGUCUUUCAUGCUCUUUUCUUGGUAGAACCUGACCUGUUGCAGAGCCAAGCACCCCGCCUCUGUCUUGGGCACGCGACAGUCAGCCCUCGGGAACUUAGGUCCAGCCCAGUAAUGGACUUGUUGGCAUCCCCUCAUCUCCCAGUUAUGAAUUCCUUGGGUCCCGUGUGUCUCUACGUUCCAGUUGGUAGCACCGAACGAGUCUGCUGAAUGGAUUUUCCCUUAGUUUGAAUCCCUGCCUGGUUUGGCCAUAAGAAAACAAAUACCAUUCACAGGGUGUGUGACAUAGACGCUGGUGCUCCCCAAUUAUUCCAUGAGAUCCUGCAUAUUUUCCAGCCUUCCUGGCACUUAGCAUGGGGCCAGGUGACGAAUUCAAGUUCACGGGCACAAGGGGGAGUGAAGCAAUGCACAGCAUUUGCCACCCGAGGACACCGAGGAGGUUGAAAGCUGCACGCAUCUGCCGCGGUGGCUGGAAGCGAAGAACACUGAGACGGCGAAGGGGCCACAGAGAGCAUCUCUAAUGCGCACCACUGCUGAAAGGCGGCCACCAGAGAGGACGGGCUGAGCUGUAUCGGACUGCUCCGAAAGUGACAAAUAAGCCUCUGGCUUUGGAGGUUUGCUGCCACAGCAAAACUUAGCUUUACCCUGACCAACCACGGGUGAGUUUCACAAGCUGAAAGUGUAAGGAGGAGACAAGCUUGUGGAAUAUGACAGCAUCACUGGCUAGCAACAUCUUCUGAUAUCCUGGAAUUAGUCGGGAUGGGCCAUGGAUCUGGAUCUGAAACUUUUAAAUCGAAAUGGGGACAAGAGCAUCCCUAUGACGUCAUUGGAGAAUCUGAGGCAUAGAGAAGCGAAGGGAUGGGCUUCUCGGAUUAGGAGUGAGCGAAGCAUGAGAAGAGAGACCUCAAUUUCCCCUGGGCUGUUUCCCACCCUUCCUAGUUGGGAUUUCUCCUCCCCCAGCAUUUGUGCCCUUUGGGUUAGUAUUCUAGGCAUGAGACUGACCUAUUUCGAAGUGGGACAGGUUGGCAUCUCUAAAGCGGGUUCCACAGAAGACUCUGUUUUGAAGCAACAUGGUGGUAAAGAGGUUAACAUUGAAUGGGAGUUUUACUUCCAGGCAGGGAUCUCGAGCCCUGGCGGAAAGACUGCAGCUGCCCUGUGGCCCAGAUAAUGCAACAUCGGGCUGAGCAAGGACAUCUGAGAACAUUCUGUUCUCCUCCCCCGAGACCAAUUAAAAUCUGGAGGCAUCUUUCUUGUUGAUCGAGCUGACUAACUAAUUGAAACGGAAUUGUGAUAUUUUCAUCAGCUUUCUCUUAUCCCUCUUGGCCUUGCCAGCAGAGAGCAAGCUGAAUGAUCAGAGAGUUUCAAGCAUGUGAGGCCCAGGGAACGGAACCCCUCCCACCGUAAACCACUACAUUACCACGGAACAAGGUUCGAAAAAGGAUGAUGCGGGGUUGGGAGUAGGGCGAUACGCUCAAAUCUCAGUCUCAGUUCAUCCAGAUACCAAAGAUACCAUCUUCGGGAUUCCUGAUGAACCAUAAAGCUGUCCUUCAGCAGUUGCUGCUCCAAUAAACCAGCUUCUGACCUCUGCCUUCCUAACGAACAUCCCUCUGCCUGACUGGGGAAGCUCCUAGAAACAAAGAACCAAACGCCUCUGAGGCCCAACAAGAUCCCUUUCCUUCCAUUGAGCUAGAAUGUAUUUCCUCGGCACGUGCAAAUGGCCUAGUGGUUAAUCUUAGCAAUUGUCCCAAAGGACAUCCAAGCCUCUGGGAAUGGGUUACAUGAUUGAGAUUGCAGGACCUUUUUCUGCUUCAGCAUGAAGACCUGCAUGUUAGCAUUUGUGAGGAGAGCUCAAGAUGGGGGGAAGUCCUCUUGGCUCCUGAUCUAAGGAAGAGCUGCAUCUUAAGCAUUGGUAGAAUUGCUCACGUGUCCAGUGUGAGGUGGCCUUGGCUGACAAGCUAUCAAAAUAAAUAAAUAACAAGAAAAU